rnacentral:rRNA from 1 species
UACGGGGGGGCAAGGCGUUGUUCGGAAUUACUGGGCGUAAAGGGCUCGUAGGUGGCCAACUAAGUCAGACGUGAAAUCCCCAGGCUCAACUUGGGAACUGCGUCUGAUACUGGAUGGCUUGAAUUCGGGAGAGGGAUGCAGAAUUCCAGGUGUAGCGGUGAAAUGCGUAGAUAUCUGGAGGAAUACCGGUGGCGAAGGCGGCAUCCUGGACCGAGAUUGACACUGAUGAGCGAAAGCUAGGGGAGCAAACGGG